rnacentral:misc_RNA from 1 species
CAAGCAACAAAAUGAAACCGAACACGCAACUCUUCAAUACGCAAACUAUUAACAAGAGUUUCCAUUAAAAACACAACCAAUGGCUUAUUAGUAUUUACAAGCUCUUAAAGAGCUGAAACUGCUCAAUGGUUGCCAAACCCUUGUAGUUCCAACUUAGGAUUUUCAUAGCUCCCGGCAGGCUUGGAGGCCAGGACCGGCCGAUAUGAGAUUUUCAAGAUGCGUCUGUUUGGAUGAAGUGAGGGAAGGAUAAAUAAUGAAAGGAUAAGAAAGGGUAAGGAAGGGGAAGGGGAAGGGUAAGGAGGGUUACAAUAAAAAAAAUCUCAUGUCUGGGAAGGAGUGAAUUAAUGGAAAGGUAAGGAGAGGUAGUGUAUAUUCUUUAUACUUGAGAAGAGGUGAAAAAUAGAUAAAAUUAAGGGGUGUAGAAAUAGAAAUAUUCGUAACUAUACUUUCUCCCUCUUUACCCCACCCUUACACCCCAAUAAAAAUUAAGAUUUGAGGGGUAAAGGAAGGUAAAGUUUACCUUAUUUACCUUUACAUCCCAUUAACUCACCUCUUUCCAAACAAAGGUAAAAUAAUUAAUUAUCCCUCCUUACCCUUUAUUUAUCCCUCUCUCACCCUCAUCCCAACNNNNNNCAAAGCUUGAUCCCCGGAAGAAGAAGCACCCCCUUCUGAAAAGGAAGAAGAUGGGGCCAGCCUUGGUCUCUUUUUAUCAUCCUCCACUUCUAAACUGAAUCCUGAGAUGCAUCCUUCGUUGGCCCAACAUCAUAGCUGAAAGGCCCAACAUCAGUUUGCAUAGGUUGACCGUGGGGCCCAUGGGGAAAAUUCAUUUGGAAACCUGACGGUUGUCAGCAUCAUUAGUGCGCACAAGAUUGCAUUGCAGAAAGGUUGGGCAAUCAUAUUGGGACUAGGAGGAAGAAAACAAGGGACAAGUGAAAUCAGAAUUCCAACGCCUGAACUGUCCCUCAACCAACGCUCGCCAGCCACCUGAGAGGCUUGUCUAGCCGCAGGUCGCAGCCAAGGACAGGAACACCUUCGGAAGUCUCAGAAAGGUUCCCACAAAACUAAUUCAAAUGGCCCAAACAAACGCAUAGAAAGCAAAAUGUCCGUAACUUUUCGUACUUAAAAGAAACAACUAGCUAAGAAUCAGAUUGCUCAUGAAUGUGUUUCCAUUGCUUCAACAGCAAGCGAAUGUCCAAAAGGACCCGAAUCCGCAUAAAUCCUCUCCAACCCCAAGGAACUACCAAAGGGGUCAUGCCAAAAACUUACCCAAGAAAUUUCCUAAUUGCUGAGCAACAUAGUCUACAAGAAACUAGUAGGCAAAUCAUGAACCAGGACCUAAAAGGCCACACAUGAGAGAUCAAGUUAGGUAGGCGUUUUGCCCCGCUGCAGGUGGUGCAAAACAAGCAGGUGCUUAUUGAAAGACCAAGGUCCUUCAUCAAGAACUCGAUUGGGAUCCACAACUUGGAAAAACUGGAAAGAGCAUAACUGAGGGCCAAUUUCCUUAAUACAAACACCUUUACCAGGCCUCCAGAGAGUAGCCAUAGUGGAACGCAUAGCAUUAAAAUUGAUAGAACAAUCGGUGAGAAAACGACGAAUCAAACAGAAAUCCAAAUUAUCUUCCUCUGAUCCAGACAAGUCACUCGCACAGACCAGUUCUUCCUUCCCAUCGGCAGUGAGAGAAAGGGAAUGCAUAGGAAUAUCCAUGGAACAAUGCAAAAACGGAACUUGGCACGCGAGCAAGAAAGAGAACUUGCCACGCGGGCAAGGGCAGUUAUUUG